UCCUGACCGCCCUGGAGACAGGGUCUUCCCUUCGGGGACAGGAUGAACAGGUGGUGCAUGGUUGUCGUCAGCUCGUGUCGUGAGAUGUUGGGUUAAGUCCCGCAACGAGCGCAACCCUUGGUUCUAGUUGCCAGCAUUCAGUUGGGCACUCUAGAGCGACUGCCGGCGACAAGUCGGAGGAAGGUGGGGAUGACGUCAAAUCAUCAUGCCCCUUAUGACCUGGGCUACACACGUGCUACAAUGGAUGGUACAAAGGGCAGCGAAGCGGCGACGCAUGAGCGAAUCCCAGAAAACCAUUCUCAGUUCGGAUUGCAGGCUGCAACUCGCCUGCAUGAAGCCGGAAUCGCUAGUAAUCGCGGAUCAGCAUGCCGCGGUGAAUACGUUCCCGGGCCUUGUACACACCGCCCGUCACACCAUCGAGAGUUUGUAACACCCGAAGUCGGUGAGGUAACCGUAAGGAGCCAGCCGCCGAAGGUGGGACAGAUGAUUGGGGUGAAGUCGUAACAA
rnacentral:rRNA from 1 species